rnacentral:rRNA from 1 species
UACAGAGGUCUCAAGCGUUGUUCGGAUUCAUUGGGCGUAAAGGGUGUGUAGGUGGCGCCGUAAGUCGGGUGUGAAAUUUCGGAGCUUAACUCCGAAACUGCAUUCGAUACUGCGGUGCUUGAGGACUGGAGAGGAGACUGGAAUUCAUGGUGUAGCAGUGAAAUGCGUAGAGAUCAUGAGGAAGACCAGUGGCGAAGGCGGGUCUCUGGACAGUUCCUGACACUGAGACGCGAAAGCGUGGGGAGCGAACAGG